rnacentral:snRNA from 1 species
AACUGUGAGGGUGAGCUUGCUGCAACAUCUGUUACCCCAUUGAUCUCCAGAGUUGAUUCAACUGAUCUGGCUGGCUAAGUGGGUUUCCCCUUCCUCCAUGACCACUCUAUGUGUGUCCCUCCCAAAGCUGUGCAAUAGGUAGAAGAGGAGAGAAGGACCAGUCUUCAGUCAAAGGUAUGGGCGUAGCUGUGUUCCCCUGCUAGAACCUGCAAACAAGCUCAAGGACUGAUUAUUCUACUAAACAAUUUAAUGUGUCUGGUUUUAUGU